AAUCCGUGUUGCGGGAACUUUCUCAGGAGCUCCUUGAACCUUUCCCAUGUCUUAAAUAGACUGCAAUUCCAAUUGUACAAAGGACGAGAUCUUAUUCCUAAGCUU